UCUCAGCUCCUCAACUGCCACUCACUUCUUUUGAUCCUCAUCUCAGCAUUCCAGAUCUCCCUGCUCCCAUCCUUACAUCAUGGAUCAAAGAUGUUCUUGGGCUUUCAGAGGCUAUGACCAACCCACAUUCUAGGAGGCACUUCUGUAGAGGCAAAAGCUUUCUGCACUGGUCCAACAAUAGACUUUAUAUGCAUGUCAAUUGUUCAAGAAGUAUUCUGGAGUACUACCAGCUAACUCAAAUUUGA
rnacentral:lncRNA from 1 species